AACUCGUUCUGCUGGUUGUUAUGCUGAAACAGAAAGAAGCAUCACAACCUCCUAGAAAGAGUAGA
rnacentral:pre_miRNA from 14 species